rnacentral:rRNA from 1 species
UACAGAGGGUGCGAGCGUUAAUCGGAAUUACUGGGCGUAAAGCGCGCGUAGGCGGCUUUGCAAGUCGGGUGUGAAAUCCCCAGGCUCAACCUGGGAACUGCAUUCGAGACUGCAUUGCUAGAGUAUGGGAGAGGGAAGUGGAAUUUCCGGUGUAGCGGUGAAAUGCGUAGAUAUCGGGAGGAACACCCGUGGCGAAGGCGGCCAGCUGGGAUACACCUGACGCUGAGACACGAAGGCGUGGGGAGCGAACGGG